AUUGAACGCUGGCGGCAUGCCUAACACAUGCAAGUCGAACGGCAGCACAGCCCGCAAGGGUGGGUGGCGAGUGGCGGACGGGUGAGGAACACAUAGGAAUCUACCCUGUCGUGGGGGAUAACGUAGGGAAACUUACGCUAAUACCGCAUACGACCGAGAGGUGAAAGCGGCGGACCGCAAGGCGUCGCGCGACUGGAUGAGCCUAUGUCCGAUUAGCUAGUUGGCGGGGUAAGAGCCCACCAAGGCGACGAUCGGUAGCUGGUCUGAGAGGAUGAUCAGCCACACUGGAACGUCCACACUGUCCAGACUCCUACGGGAGGCAGCCGUGGGGAAUAUUGGACAAUGGGCGCAAGCCUGAUCCAUCACUGCCGCGUGGGUGACGAAGGCCUUCGGGUUGUAAAGCCCUUUUGUACGGGAAGAAAUCCUGUCGGUUAAUACCCGGCGGGGAUGACGGUACCGUAAGAAUAAGCACCGGCUAACUUCUUGCCAGCCGCCGCGGUAAGAC
rnacentral:rRNA from 1 species